CCUACGGGUGGCAGCAGUGGGGAAUAUUGGGCAAUGGGCGCAAGCCUGACCCAGCAACGCCGCGUGAAGGAAGACGGCUUUCUGGUUGUAAACUUCUUUUCUGAGGGACGAAGAAAGUGACGGUACCUCAGGAAUAAGCCACGGCUAACUACGUGCCAGCAGCCGCGGUAAUCCGGAGGUGGCAAGCGUUAUCCGGAUUUAUUGGGUGUAAAGGGCGUGUAGGAGGGAAAGCAAGUCAGAUGUGAAAACUCAGGGCUCAACCCUGAACCUGCCUUUGACACUGUUUUUCUUGUGUGCUAGAGAGGCAAUCGGAAAUCCGUGUGGAGCGGUGAAAUGGGUAGAUAUACGGAGGAACACCAGUGGCGAAGGCGGAUUGCUGGACAGGAACUGACGCUGAGGCGCGAAAGCGUGGGGAGCAAACAGGAUUAGAUACCCGAGUAGUUC
rnacentral:rRNA from 1 species